rnacentral:rRNA from 1 species
UACGUAGGGUGCGAGCGUUGUCCGGAAUUAUUGGGCGUAAAGAGCUCGUAGGCGGUUUGUCGCGUCGACUGUGAAAACCUACAGCUUAACUGUGGGCUUGCAGUCGAUACGGGCAGACUUGAGUUCGGUAGGGGAGACUGGAAUUCCUGGUGUAGCGGUGAAAUGCGCAGAUAUCGGGAGGAACACCCGUAGCGAAGGCGGCACUCUGGGCCGGUACUGACGCUGAGGAGCGAAAGCGUGGGGAGCAAACAGG